rnacentral:rRNA from 1 species
CGGAGGGUGCAAGCGUUAUCCGGAUUCACUGGGUUUAAAGGGUGCGUAGGUGGGCAAGUAAGUCAGUGGUGAAAUCUCCGGGCUUAACCCGGAAACUGCCAUUGAUACUAUUUGUCUUGAAUACUGUGGAGGUCAGCGGAAUAUGUCAUGUAGCGGUGAAAUGCUUAGAUAUGACAUAGAACACCAAUUGCGAAGGCAGCUGGCUACACAAAUAUUGACACUGAGGCACGAAAGCGUGGGGAUCAAACAGGAUUAGAUACCCUGGUAGUCCACGCCCUAAACUAUGGAUACUCGACAUUUGCGAUAAACUGCAAGUGUCUGAGCGAAAGCAUUAAGUAUCCCACCUGGGAAGUACGAUCGCAAGAUUG